ACUCUUAAGUGUAGGAUCACGUGGCCACUAUGUCUGGGGACUACGAAGAUGACCUCUGUCGGCGGGCCCUCAUCCUGGUUUCAGACCUCUGUGCACGGAUCCGAGAUGCUGAUACCAAUGACAGGUGUCAAGAGUUCAACGAACUGCGAAUCAGAGGAUAUCCCCGGGGUCCGGAUGCAGACAUUUCCGUGAGCCUGCUGUCAGUCAUCGUGACGUUCUGUGGCAUCGUCCUCUUGGGUGUCUCUCUCUUCGUGUCCUGGAAGUUGUGCUGGGUGCCCUGGAGGGACAAAGGGGGCUCAGCAGUGGGUGGUGGCCCCCUGCGCAAAGACUUAGCCCCUGGGGUUGGGCUGGCAGGCCUGGUAGGAGGUGGUGGGCACCAU
rnacentral:lncRNA from 1 species